CCCGGGAGGGGAAAUUUAGAAAGGAAUUAACCAAAAGUGAAAACAAGGGGGACUUGGCUUUUCCUUUGAUGCCCAGUGGAUAGCUGUAGGGAGUAAGGUUACUUGGGGACGUCCUAGCUGUUUGGGGAUGCCAGCCAACGGAAUUAGACCCGUCAGAUUCUACGGGAGCAGCAUCGGGAAUAUGCACAUGGGGCAAGCUUUAUGCAGCCAUCCCGCUGUACGAAGAAGCCUUCGGGUUGUAAAGUACCUUCAGCGGGGAGAAGGUGUUGAGGUUUAAUAACCUCAUCAAUUGACGUUACCCGCAGAAGAAGCACUGGCUUAAAUCCGUGCCAGCAGCCGCGGUAAUACGGAGGGUGCAAGCGUUGAUCGGAAUUACUGGGCGUAAAGCGCACGCUGGCGGUCUGUCAAGUCGGAUGUGAAAUCCCCGGGCUCAACCUGGGAACUGCAUUCGAAACUGGCAGGCUAGAGUCUUGUAGAGGGGGGUAGAAUUCCAGGUGUAGCGGUGAAGUGCGUAGAGAUCUGGAGGAAUACCGGUGGCGAAGGCGGCCCCCUGGACAAAGACUGACGCUCAGGUGCGAAAGCGUGGGGAGCAAACAGGAUUAGAUACCCUGGUAGUCCACGCUGUAAACGAUGUCGACUUGGAGGUUGUUCCCUUGAGGAGUGGCUUCCGGAGCUAACGCGUUAAGUCGACCGCCUGGGGAGUACGGCCGCAAGGUUAAAACUCAAAUGAAUUGACGGGGGCCCGCACAAGCGGUGGAGCAUGUGGUUUAAUUCGAUGCAACGCGAAGAACCUUACCUACUCUUGACAUCCAGGGAACUUAGCAGAGAUGCUUUGGUGCCUUCGGGAACUUUGAGACAGGUGCUGCAUGGCGGUCGUCAGCUCGUGUUGUGAAAUGUUGGGUUAAGUCCCGCAACGAGCGCAACCCUUAUCCUUUGUUGCCAGCGAUUCGGUCGGGAACUCAAAGGAGACUGCCAGUGAUAAACUGGAGGAAGGUGGGGAUGACGUCAAGUCAUCAUGGCCCUUACGAGUAGGGCUACACACGUGCUACAAUGGCAUAUACAAAGAGAAGCGACCUCGCGAGACGCAAGACGGACCUCAUAAAGUAUGUCGUAGUCCGGAUUGGAGUCUGCAACUCGACUCCAUGAAGUCGGAAUCGCUAGUAAUCGUGGAUCAGAAUUCCACGGUGAAUACGUUCCCGGGCCUUGUACACACCGCCCGUCACACCAUGGGAGUGGGUUGCAAAAGAAGUAGGUAGCUUAACCUUCGGG
rnacentral:rRNA from 1 species